rnacentral:rRNA from 1 species
AAGAUGAGAUUUCCCAGUAUGUAAGACCCCUGGAAGACGACCAGGUUGAUAGGUUCGAGGUGGAAGCGCAGCAAUGUGUGGAGCUGACGAAUACUAAUCGGUCGAGGGCUUAUCCUAAA